GCAGGUGUAGCCAAGUGGUAUGGCAACCGGCUUUUAACCGGUAUAUCGCAGGUUCAAGUCCUGUCACCUGUA
rfam:Clostridium hathewayi CAG:224 genomic scaffold, scf102